AAAAGAAUUUCCUCUUGCCACUCCAUUAAGCAUUCAGAGAAGGAAAAGCUUCAGCCGUCGCACAGCCUUUAUCCUCAAGCAUCGUUAAAUCCAACUAGGAGUCAAAUUCCUUACCAAUUUUAGUUUGGACACAAGGAUUAAGUCAUACUGCCUUUAUACAACAAAUCCCACAUCGGACCAUGACUUAUUAACGCCUCAUCUCCAAAUCUAUAUAAACCCCCUGUACUCGCAUUUGUUGAGUAUUAAUUUGUAGUUUCCGCAAGCCACUUGAGUCUAGUUUUGUGGGCUCGGAAGUAUCAACGCGAAGGUAAUUUCUUCUUCUUUUCUUGUGCUUUUCUUCCUUUGUUAUUUUUUUUGUAGGUCAAGUGAGAAAGAUAUGCUCUUGUUCAACAGAUGAUCCACGCAUGAAGAAAGUGGUCUUAGGGUGUGAGGGGAUGGAUACUCAUCACUGCCCAAAUAUCGGAGAGAUCACUCUCAAUGUGCCCUGACUAUCGGAGAGAUUAUUUUCAAUGUGCCCCGACUAUCGGAGAGAUUAUUCUCAAUGUGCCCUGACUAUCGGAGAGAUUAUUCUCAAUGUGCCCCGACUAUCGGAGAGAUUAUUCUCAAUGUGCCCCGACUAUCAAAGAGAUUAUUCUCAAUGUGCCCCGACUAUCGGAGAAAUCUCUCAAUGUGCCCCGACUAUCGGAGAAAUCUCUCAAUGUGCCCCGACUAUCGGAGAGAUUACUCUCAAUGUGCCCCGACUAUCAGAGAGAUUACU
rnacentral:lncRNA from 1 species